UACGGGGGGGGCAAGCGUUGUUCGGAAUUACUGGGCGUAAAGCGCGUGUAGGCGGCAGGGCAUGUCGGAUGUGAAAUCCCGUGGCUCAACCACGGAAGUGCACCCGAAACUGCCCAGCUGGAGUCUCGGAGAGGAAGGCGGAAUGCUUGGUGUAGAGGUGAAAUUCGUAGAUAUCAAGCGGAACACCGGUGGCGAAGGCGGCCUUCUGGACAGUGACUGACGCUGAGACGCGAAAGCGUGGGGAGCAAACAGG
rnacentral:rRNA from 1 species